rnacentral:misc_RNA from 1 species
AUGAACUAAGAUUUUACCGACUGAAGGCAAAGAAGAAAAUGAGAUCUCCAAAUCCUGAAGUUAGGAUCAGAUACAAACUUGAGAAGGCAAAACGAAAGGAAGCUUGGUUGAUCGAGAAAUUGAGAAAUUUUGAGGUACCUAAAGCUCCAGAUGAACCACAUGAUCCUGAAAUUUUAACUGAAGAGGAGAAGUUUUACUUGAAGCGCACUGGUGAGAAAAAGAAAAAUUAUGCACCAGUUGGUAGACGAGGAGUAUUUGGAGG